GCAGGAAAUGGUGUUGGUUACAUCGUGAUGUCACAGUUACACAUCACUGCUUGAUACAGCUGAGUACUGAGACGGAGGCAGACAGCAGAUGUGCGAGCUCAGCUUCAGUCGCAUGAAAGCUUUCUCGAAGGAUUAAGAUGCAAAUGAUAAUUAUUGACCGAUAAACAUCAGCGGAUUUCUCUUGGGCUGCCCUGCGUGUUGUUGGAAACGACUUCAGCGUACACAGUUACGAAAAAAGAAAGAAAGUAAAAGUCUACGCUUUAGAUCAGCCGAGCCUCUGCUAAUUGUCCUCUACCAAGGGAGCCAUGGUGCCAGCAGUCCUUAAAAUGUACUUUAUUGGAACAGCGCUGAGCGUCCUUGCAGUCAUUUAUGGAAUAGCGGACUCCUUUGGUGGCCUGAUGUACACCCAGGACCAUCACUACGGGUUUGACCUGGACCAGCAGACACAGAGGCAGCUCUCCUCAAGCCACGACCAGAGACGAUCGGAUGUGAAUAAAAACAUUAGCUCAUGAGGAAAACAUCUCGGUCACAAGUUACAAAAAAUGGCAGUUCAAUGGACAUGCUGGUUACAGUGGCAAGCUACAGUCAGAACACUGGAGAUUAUUUAUUCUGGUUCCAUUGCUAAUUAUGGACAAUGUGUUAUGCAUAACCAAAAUGUUGAUAUUGAUAAUCCCACAACAUCUGGUUGUGUUUACUGCUUCACUGUAGCAGCUAGUCUGUGUUAAAUCAAAUACAGACCUGAUUAAAAAUGUAACAGCACUACUGAACAAUGAUUUGCACUAAAAACAAGAAUGUUUUGUCUUUUUGAUGUAUGUAUUUUGAGUUUUCUUUCAAAUAAAAAAAGUGCAAGUGUU